AUUUCACAGAACCCAGCUGUUAGCGAGGUUUGCCAUGCUUAGCAAAUUACCAGUGCAGUAGUAUCUACAGAAUUCACUCUUGGGGAAACCUACAGAAUAAUGAAGCCAGACCAGUGUUAAACAAAAACUGGAGGAGAAGACAUCAUAGCUAGGAUGAUGGAGAUCAAAGUUUUGUUGAUUGAACAAAAUUAUUUCUACUGUCUUUGGUGUGCCCUCUUCAUGACCAUGGAGUAACAUGGAACACAGUCGUCAACUUGAGGCAAGGUUCUCGUGGUAGAAGGAACCGAACUCGAAAUACAAAAUAAGCUUGGUAGUGGAGCUUUUGGCGUGGUCUUCAAAGCAAGGGACC
rnacentral:misc_RNA from 1 species